rnacentral:rRNA from 1 species
GGUCUCUUGAAUAUAUUUAAAAGAUCUAACCUGCCCACUGAAAAUAUUUUGAAGGGCCGCAGUAUUUUGACUGUGCAAAGGUAGCAUAAUCAUUAGUCUUUUAAUUGAAGGCUGGUAUGAAUGGUUGGACGAGGUAAAUACUGUUUUAUGUUAAUUGAAAUUGAAUUUAGAAUUUAAGUAAAAAGACUUAAAUAUUAUUAAGGGACGAGAAGACCCUAUAGAGUUUAAUAAGUUUAAUAAUUAAUUGAGUUAUUAAUUAAUUUUUGGUUUUUAUGAAAUUUAUUUAAUUGGGGUGAUUAGAGGAUAAAGAAAACUCUUCUUUAAAAUUAAUAUUAUUAUUAGUUUUAUGAUCCAUUAUUAAUGAUUAAAAGAUUAAAUUACCUUAGGGAUAACAGCAUAAUUCUUUUUAAGAGUUCAUAUCAAAAAAGGAGAUUGUGACCUCGAUGUUGGAUUAAGAUUAGUUUUGGGUGCAGAUGUUCAAUGACUAGGUCUGUUCGACCUUGAAAAUCUUACA